GAUGAAGAGCGCAGCGAAAUGCGAUAAGUAGUGUGAAUUGCAGAAUUCAGUGAAUCAUCGAAUCUUUGAACGCACAUUGCGCCCCUUGGUAUUCCAUGGGGCAUGCCUGUUCGAGCGUCAUUUGUACCUUCAAGCUUUGCUUGGUGUUGGGUGUUUGUCCCGAGGGACUCGCCUUAAAGUAAUUGGCAGCCAGUGUUUGGUUUUGAAGCGCAGCACAAGUCGCGAUUCAAGGCUACACGCCCGCUUCCACAAGCCUUUUUUCACUUUUGACCUCGGAUCAGGUAGGGAUACCCGCUGAACUUAAGCAUAUCAUAAGCGGAGGA
rnacentral:misc_RNA from 1 species